CAACCUACCUAUCAGAGGGGAAUAACCCGGCGAAAGUCGGACUAAUACCGCAUAAAACAGGGGCACCGCAUGGUGAUAUUUGUUAAAGAAAUUCGCUGAUAGAUGGGCAUGCGUUCCAUUAGGUAGUUGGUGAGGUAACGGCUCACCAAGCCGACGAUGGAUAGGGGAACUGAGAGGUUGGUCCCCCACACUGGUACUGAGACACGGACCAGACUCCUACGGGAGGCAGCAGUGAGGAAUAUUGGUCAAUGGGCGGGAGCCUGAACCAGCCAAGUCGCGUGAAGGAAGAAGGAUCUAUGGUUCGUAAACUUCUUUUGCAGGGGAAUAAAGUGCAGGACGUGUCCUGUUUUGUAUGUACCCUGAGAAUAAGGAUCGGCUAACUCCGUGCCAGCAGUCGCGGUAAUAUGGAGGAUCCGAGCGUUAUCCGGAUUUAUUGGGUUUAAAGGGUGCGUAGGUGGUUUGAUAAGUCAGCGGUGAAAGUUUGCAGCUUAACUGUAAAAAUGCCGUUGAAACUGUCGGACUUGAGUGUAAAUGAGGUAGGCGGAAUGCGUGGUGUAGCGGUGAAAUGCAUAGAUAUCACGAAGAACUCCGAUUG
rnacentral:rRNA from 1 species